rnacentral:piRNA from 1 species
UGCUGUUUAUUACCUGGGAAGUGUGCUGU